rnacentral:lncRNA from 1 species
GUUAUUUGACUGGAGUGAGGUCUCAUGUCUGCUUAUGCGGUGGCUCGCUGCUCAGAACAGGGUGAGUCUCUGGGUUGUGUGCUGAGGAGGGGAGGCUCUCAAUCUGGAGAAAACCCACUGCAGGGGACACCUCCAUGGGGUCUGAGGGACUGAGGAUGAGGAGCCGGACUGGGUCUAGGGAAGGAGGAGGUUUCAGAGGGUGAAAUUCUGGCACUAAAGCCUGGGGGUGUUUGGGAACUUCCUCCUUCCGAAGAAGUUUCAGGGAGGGAUAAAGACAAACCCUGGGCUCCUUGAGGGGCCCUUACUAAUUUGAGAGGACUCUAUCGGGAAGGAGAGUGACAAUGGCCUCCUUGAGGACUGAGGCCCCUGAAUAAAUGAGGCCCAGAUACAGUCCAUGGGGGAUGAGACCUUCAAGGGUCACAUUUUGGUUGGGACAGAGGAAAAGUGCAGCUCUGCAGCCGCAGAGGAAAACCCGGCAGUGUGAAAGCGACCUUGGAGGGGCCCUGUGCGCUCUGAAUGCGUCUGAGCCCCCAUCCCCUGUCCCCGCCUCUCUUUCUGGAUUCUUCCAGCUCGGCUGUCUCCGCCAUCUUCUGAGCGCUCCACCCUGACUUAUUCAAGUUUCCCUUCUGCCUUCCAAGUACUCCAAAAUCUUUCAGAUCUGUGUCCCUACCCCUGUUUUUAGCAUGUGUUGGGGCUCCAGGUCCCUGAAGGUUUCUGGCCUGAAAUCCACCUCCCCAGCGGAGUGGACUGCGUUCUAGAGACUCCACACUCCGCGAGGUUCCCAGGCCCCUGAGGGACAACCGAGUGGCCUGCGCACUUCAGGGCUCCACACUCGGCAAGGUCUUUCAAGCCCUUGGGGUCCCCUUCUUAGUUUUUUCCACCUUUCUGGGCUGCAGUCACUCCAUAAAUGCUGGGAUCUGAUCCCCACCCCCACUCUCGUUUCCUCAAUUCUGCGGGCUACACGCUCUGGCAAGGUCCUCCGGGCCCUGGAUCCCCUCCCUCUCCCUAUGCCCACGCUCCUAGUCAGCCCUUCUGGGGUCCACUAUUUUCAGGAACUAACCAUUCUCAUGGAGCCUUGCUAACCGGAAAGCUGUGUGGAAGAAAGGCUUUGAGGAUAGAGGUGGAGAUUUGGCUCUUCCAUAGUGCCACUCACCCACCCCACCAUGCUGCCACUGCCAGACCCGGACCCCUGUUUCAGAACAAGUGACCAGAUUCGCUCCUGGACAGCCCUGGACACUGGCCUUUUCUCUGAAAACUACUCACCCUUUCUCUAGUCCCCACUUCAUGCCAGCCUCAUACCCUCUUCCUUCCCCCACGCUGGCUUCCGGGAUCCUCCUCUGCUCAGACAACCUCUUCUGUGUCCCACCCCCGUUUUUAGAAUGCUUUGGGGCACCAGGUUGGGGGAAGGUUUCUGGCCUGAUAUCCAUCUCUUUCCAAACUCCCUUCUUCCCUUGAAAGGCUUCUUGCCUUCAGCCCCACUUCUGGCUCCGAGGUUUCAGGACACCCUCCUCUUCAUCCUCAUUCUUUUGACCACCAGCUUUUUAGGAAUUCGAACGUCCCUCUCAUCUUCGUGAAUCCUGUCCAGGCAUUUGUUGACCCCUUCAUCUGAUACCCCUGACCUCACAUUGCCAAAAGUCUACCCCUACCCAGUACACUGGAAUUAGACAAAAUCCCAGGAGUUUUACCUCAACUCUGAGUGUGCCCACAGGAGCUCUCCCUGAAGCCACGUCCUUUUAAGCAGGGUCUAGGGUUCCUCCCUUGUCUUAAUGAACUCUUUGUCACACGGAGGACGUUAUGGAGCCCUUAUGAUCUUUCACUGCCUUUCUGCCCAGCGUUUUGUCUUUCCAUGGACAUUUAUAAUAUUUUCCAUGGACAUUUUGUUCUCUCAAUGUCCACCCCUAAUUUCCAACAUCCCAAAGAUUCUCAUGUGUUUCCUGAAAGCCAUUUACAGGAAUGGCUGUGCCCAGACCCCCUUCCCCAGGAUCCUCCUUCACACCUGGUAGGUGCCUCUCCUAGAGAGAUUUGCACUCAGUUGUCGUGCAGUCACAUGGCCCAGAUGGUUGUUAAUCACCCCCUUCCUGGCAACAGCUAGCAGCCAGGGAAUCACUGGCACAGAAACCUCAGGGUGACCAAGAUGAGGCCACCUCUGUGCUGAAGGCUGUGCUCCAGAGCCUGCUUGGGAUCAGGCUUAAGCAGGUCUUCAGCCAGACCUGAUGUUACCUGGUUUCCUUGAGCUGCCCUGCCUGAGCUAUCGGGAGCACUCCCUCAAUGCACAUCUUGAUUCCC